AGCCAGGUCUGGCAAGCGGUGCGGCUAAAAUACACAUAUAAAUUCUAUGCCAGUCUUUAAAUUACGAAGCCGGGGCAGAGCCAGCAUAGGAUGUAGAAGGCAUGCUCUGUCGGCACACCUCGGAGAGAAGUUGCUCACGAGCAUCCAGAUAUUUGCGCCGUACCCUCACUACUGGCGUGUUCGCCUCUGUUGGUGAAGAAUAUUGCGGGGUAUAGGGGGUUCUCAAUUUUGUCCGCGGUCGUACUACAGCAGGAGCGUUAUCGAGGGCUGCUUCCUCCAGCUCCGCGCGUCUCUCGCCGAGUCCGUUAACCCGUCCCGCCGUUCAAAUUUUGAGGACCCCUACAUUAGUCGAAGAGCCCAACGAGUCAUAACCUUACUUUUUAUUAGUGUGUGGGGUCUUCCUAUCCUAACUUUAACCAGUCUGUAUACAUUUAAUGUACAUACUCUCUAUUUUCUAUAUGUUGUCGCGCAUGUUCGAUUCCUGUUUACGCGAAUGCUUCAUUUUUCACUUUUUUCCCUAGGCCAUUUCUGAUUUUAGUUCAAUUUUUAAUUUCGUCCCCACCUCGUCGUGAGGUGGCCGUUGAUCUGAUAAAUUCGUGCCGAGCUUUUCGAGGUUAUUUCGAGUUAGUAGUGAUCUGUUGUUCUCUUUCGUUCGUUGUUAAAGUUUUUUUAUUUUCAGUUAUCGCUGUUUUAACAAAUUCAUAUUCGGUUUAUGUCUCAUGCGCUGUGAUUUUACCCUCUCUCACUGUGGUUCUCUCUCGCUCGGUUCAGCUCAAGGCGUUACGUAAAUUGGCUCUCUUCUCGCUGUGUGUCCGUAUUGAAGCGAUUUUCAAAUCCUCGGGCAUUUUUGUGAGUGUGUUGUGUUGUUCAUCAAAUUCUGUGCAUUUGGAUGUAACCUCCUUAAGUUGUGGCGGGGAAAACAGCGAUUUUACCACCGCCUUUGGGGCGCAAUUGGCUCAUAGAGAAAACGGUGAGUUGAUUUUUUAUUACGAGUUUCUCGAGCUUUAGAGUGUGACGUAAGUAAGUAACCUUUCCGUAUUUUUUUGUGGCUUCGCCGAGAGUCUCCGCAAAUAAUAA
rnacentral:lncRNA from 1 species